rnacentral:rRNA from 1 species
GGGGAAUAUUGCACAAUGGAGGAAACUCUGAUGCAGCAACGCCGCGUGAAGGAAGAAGGUUUUCGGAUCGUAAACUUCUAUCGAUAGGGAAGAAAGAAAUGACGGUACCUAAAUAAGAAGCCCCAGCUAACUACGUGCCAGCAGCCGCGGUAAUACGUAGGGGGCAAGCGUUAUCCGGAAUUACUGGGUGUAAAGGGAGCGUAGGCGGCAUGGUAAGUUAGAUGUGAAAGCCCGGGGCUUAACCCCGAGGAUUGCAUUUAAAACUAUCAAGCUAGAGUACAGGAGAGGAAAGCGGAAUUCCUAGUGUAGCGGUGAAAUGCGUAGAUAUUAGGAAGAACACCAGUGGCGAAGGCGGCUUUCUGGACUGAAACUGACGCUGAGGCUCGAAAGCGUGGGGAGCGAAC